rnacentral:rRNA from 1 species
AUUGAACGCUGGCGGCAUGCCUUACACAUGCAAGUCGAACGGCAGCACGGGUGCUUGCACCUGGUGGCGAGUGGCGAACGGGUGAGUAUUACAUCGGAACGUACCUUAUCGUGGGGGAUAACGCAGCGAAAGCUGUGCUAAUACCGCAUACGCCCUGAGGGGGAAAGCGGGGGAUCGCAAGACCUCGCGCGAUUAGAGCGGCCGAUGCCUGAUUAGCUUGUUGGUGGGGUAAAAGCCCACCAAGGCGACGAUCAGUAGCUGGUCUGAGAGGACGAUCAGCCACACUGAGACUGAGACAGGGCCCAGACUCCUACGGGAGGCAGCAGUGGGGAAUUUUGGACAAUGGGGGCAACCCUGAUCCAGCAAUGCCGCGUGAGUGAAGAAGGCCUUCGGGUUGUAAAGCUCUUUUGUCAGGGAAGAAACACCGGCUCUAACACAGUCCGGGAAUGACGGUACCUGAAGAAUAAGCACCGGCUAACUACGUGCCAGCCGCCGCCGUAA